AAUAUUGUGCCCUGAGGAGCUGAUUGACUUUUCUGACCCAGUAUACCUUCCAAAUCAAUAAAAGGACCUCGUAAUUUUUUAAACAGUCCUGUUUUUUGACAAGUACUUUUAAUACAUUCUGCUGUUAAUAUUUUAACUUUUACUGCAGUAUUAGUACUUCUUCCAAAGCGAGGUACUAUAGACAGUGCCGCUGAGGGCGCGUUAGAGAGUGCGUGUGAUGCAGAUUGUCACGGCCAGCUCAGCGAGGUUGCAUAACAUCCUUACUCCAAAUGCCAAGGCUUUUAGCAGCUGAAUUAUGCUCAUUGUGUUCGCUCCACAUCGCGCUCACAGUCUGAUUUAAAGCACCUUGUUGAUUAAAAAUCCGCUGCGUGCGUCUAAUAACCGAGGCAGGGUGGUUUUGGGGGUUUUUCUAACAUGUAGGAUUCAUGUGAGGAGCCCUCGAGCUUUCUACAAGGAGCUUUGUUGUUUUCAUCACCGCCUCCCUGCCUGGCAGAGUAAGGAGGUUAUUGAUUUUCUGCCCCGGCUCGCUUUGAUUCAUAUCAGGCUGAGCACAGACGAUAUUUUAUUCAGAGGGAUUUGUAAUGCUUUUGUUCAUCUGGUGACUUACACGCUCAAGAUCAACUCUCUGAGCUGUUUUUACUUACAUUUCAUGAUAAUAGCAGCUCUUGAUCUCUUGAAUUAGUGCUCAUUAGAGGCCCCGAGGUUAGGCUGUGUGUGUUAUGUUUGUCCGCAGCUCCGCCUGGUGGUCCUCCGCAGUACAACGCCAUCUUCGGCAGCAGGCUCUCGUCCAGCUCCACUCCUGCCAGCUCCCCCGGUGUCGAUACAGUCUCCAGCUCCCAAACCUUUGCAAAUUUCCCAAACCCAUUCAGCUCCGGAUCCAGCUCGGCCUCCCAGCAGCCUGUUGCCCUCUCCCCCAGUAACCCCUUCAGCAACGCAUCGGGAGGUGAGAGUCAUGUUCAGGGUCCUCAGUAGAGCCCAAAAAUGGAUUUAGGAUUUUAGGGCCGAUACUGAUUUUAGGGAGUAAAAUAAUCCAAAUAUUGAUAUACCAGCC